ACGCUAGCUACAGGCUUAACACAUGCAAGUCGAGGGGAAACGGCAUUAAGUGCUUGCACUUUUUGGACGUCGACCGGCGCACGGGUGAGUAACGCGUAUCCAACCUUCCCAUGACUAAGGGAUAACCUGCCGAAAGGCAGACUAAUACCUUAUGGUCUUCACUGACGGCAUCAGAUGUGAAGUAAAGAUUUAUCGGUUAUGGAUGGGGAUGCGUCUGAUUAGUUAGUUGGCGGGGUAACGGCCCACCAAGGCAACGAUCAGUAGGGGUUCUGAGAGGAAGGUCCCCCACAUUGGAACUGAGACACGGUCCAAACUCCUACGGGAGGCAGCAGUGAGGAAUAUUGGUCAAUGGGCGAGAGCCUGAACCAGCCAAGUAGCGUGCAGGAAGACGGACCUAUGGGUUGUAAACUGCUUUUGUAUGGGGAUAAAGUCAAUCACGUGUGAUUGUUAGCAGGUACCAUACGAAUAAGGACCGGCUAAUUCCGUGCCAGCAGCCGCGGUAAUACGGAAGGUCCGGGCGUUAUCCGGAUUUAUUGGGUUUAAAGGGAGCGUAGGCUGGAGAUUAAGUGUGUUGUGAAAUGUAGACGCUCAACGUCUGACUUGCAGCGCAUACUGGUUUCCUUGAGUACGCACAACGUUGGCGGAAUUCGUCGUGUAGCGGUGAAAUGCUUAGAUAUGACGAAGAACUCCGAUUGCGAAGGCAGCUGACGGGAGCGCAACUGACGCUGAAGCUCGAAGGUGCGGGUAUCGAACAGGAUUAGAUACCCUGGUAGUCCGCACAGUAAACGAUGGAUGCCCGCUGUUGGUACCUGGUAUCAGCGGCUAAGCGAAAGCAUUAAGCAUCCCACCUGGGGAGUACGCCGGCAACGGUGAAACUCAAAGGAAUUGACGGGGGCCCGCACAAGCGGAG
rnacentral:rRNA from 1 species